AACGAGUCCGAGACGAAGCGCUGGAACGUCUGCAGACACAGGAAGGCUGUCCUCCCCGUCUGACAGACAGGUUACAGACAGACAGGUUACAGACAGACAGGAAGGCUGUCCUCCCCGUCUGACAGACAGGUUACAGACAGACAGGUUACAGAGAGACAGGAAGGCUGUCCUCCCCGUCUGACAGACAGGUUACAGACAGACAGGUUACAGAGAGACAGGAAGGCUGUCCUCCCCGUCUGACAGACAGGUUACAGACAGACAGGUUACAGAGAGACAGGAAGGCUGUCCUCCCCGUCUGACAGACAGGUUACAGACAGACAGGUUACAGACAGACAGGUUACAGACAGACAGGAAGGCUGUCCUCCCCGUCUGACAGACAGGUUACAGACAGACAGGUUACAGACAGACAGGAAGGCUGUCCUCCCCGUCUGACAGACAGGUUACAGACAGACAGGUUACAGACAGACAGGAAGGCUGUCCUCCCCGUCUGACAGACAGGUUACAGACAGACAGGUUACAGACAGACAGGAAGGCUGUCCUCCCCGUCUGACAGACAGGUUACAGACAGACAGGUUACAGACAGACAGGAAGGCUGUCCUCCCCGUCUGACAGACAGGUUACAGACAGACAGGUUACAGAGAGACAGGUUACAGACAGACAGGAAGGCUGUCCUCCCCGUCUGACAGACAGGUUACAGAGAGACAGGAAGGCUGUCCUCCCCGUCUGAUAGACAGGUUACAGAGAGACAGGUUACAGACAGACAGGAAGGCUGUCCUCCCCGUCUGAUAGACAGGUUACAGAGAGACAGGUUACAGACAGACAGGAAGGCUGUCCUCCCUGUCUG